CAGGCAGAAGGUACCGUGUUGUCGAAGACGAAGGGGCCUUCUUUCUUUCUUCGAGAGGAGAGAGGUAGCUAUGUUGUUCUAGCUCUACUACGGACGUUACCCUUUCCUAUAUGUGAAGCCUAGUAGUUAACCACCGCGACCACCGUGCUUGUGACGAUUACCACCAUUACCACCGUUAUAACCACGAGGACGGAGCGCCCGGCUGAGAACGCGGUUCGGCGUCGUCCUCGAUGGUAGAGACUGUGUAGUCAUACGCCUUGUUAUGCACAUACGUAUGGGUCGUGGUGGCCGUAUGCCGCCGGGAGGUUUCGGGGGCGGCCGCAUAGCGAUACCGAUACCCAUACCACCUCCACCAAGACCACCCAUGUCGAUGCCGAUGCCGAUGGGGCUCGGGCUACCAUAAACCCUACUUGGACGACCCCGUAUGCCGCCGCCGUCUAUGGUGGGUGGUGUCGGCGGCAUAAUAGUACCGCCGCCAGCACCACCCAUGGGAAGAGGAGUCAAACCAGCACCUCGACCACGACCAUCGAUAUCGAUGAUGCCGCCACCGCCACCGCCACCCCCGCCUAUAGGAGGGU
rnacentral:rRNA from 1 species